rnacentral:lncRNA from 1 species
CCCGGCACUGUUCUUGAAACAACUUAUAGUAAAAGAAAAAAAUAUUUUUCUUCUGUUAUCCCUUUUUUUCAGGAAGAAGCAAAAAGCAGCUUAAUGAAUUAGAGAUGAUUAGAGGUGGUUGAUAAGGACCGAGUCCAAAGAGCAUACAUCCCCAUCUGCAAUUUGACUGGCAGCUCCAGGAGGUGGGAUCCGCAUUCAUGCUCCACUGCCCUC